AUUGAACGCUGGCGGCAGGCAUAACCCAUGCAAGUCGAACGAGUAGCGGACGGGUGAGUAAGGUCUGGGAAACUGCCUGAUGGAGGGGGAUAACUACUGGAAACGGUCGCUACUACCGCAUACCAUGGGAUGGGGCCAGAUGGGAUUAGCUAGUAGGUGGGGUAAAGGUUCACCUAGGCGACGAUCCCUAGCUGGUCUGAGAGGAUGACCGGCCACACUGGAACUGAGACACGGUCCAGACUCCGACGGGAGGCAGCAGUGGGGAAUAUUGCACAAUGGGCGCAAGCCUGAUGCAGCCAUGCCGCGUGUAUGAAGAAGGCCUUCGGGUUGGAAAGUACUUUCAGCGGGGAGGCGUUACCCGCAGAAGAAGCACCGGCUAACUCCGUGCCAGCAGCCGCGGUAAUUC
rnacentral:rRNA from 1 species